CAGAAGGGGGAAGAGCUAACUUGCUGAGUCACUUGGCCUUCGUCUUUAUCCCGUGCUGGAUGCUUCCUGCCCUCGAACAUCAGAUUCUGAGUUCUUCGGCUUUCAGACUCUUGGGCUUAAACCAGUGGUUUGCCGGGGCUCUUGGGCCUUUGGCCACAGACUGAAGGCUGCACUGUUGGCUUCCCCAGUUUUGAGGUUUUGGGACCUGGACUGAGUCACUACUGGCUUCCUUGCUCCUCAGCUUGCAGAUGGCCUAUUGCGGGACUUCACCUUGUGUCCAUGUGAACUAUCUUUCCCAGCUACUCAGGAAGCUAAGGUGGGAGAAUCACUUGAGCCUAGGAGUUCAAGACCAGACUAGGUAACAUAACGAACCUCAACUCUAAACAACAAAAAAGGUAAGCCAUUUUUAAUUUUUUAAAUGAUAUUUGAGAUCAUUUUAUACAAUCCUAUCAU
rnacentral:lncRNA from 13 species